GAUGAACGCUAGCGGCAGGCUUAAUACAUGCAAGUCGAGGGGCAGCACGGUUAGCAAUAACUGGUGGCGACCGGCGCACGGGUGCGUAACACGUAUACAAUCUACCUUAAACAGGGGGAUAGCCUUUCGAAAGAGAGAUUAAUACCCCGUAAUAAAUUGAACGGCAUCGUUUGAUUUUGAAAGCUCCGGCGGUUUGAGAUGAGUAUGCGUCUGAUUAGCUAGUUGGUGAGGUAACGGCUCACCAAGGCGACGAUCAGUAGGGGAUCUGAGAGGACUAACCCCCCACACUGGUACUGAGACACGGACCAGACUCCUAUGGGAGGCAGCAGUAAGGAAUAUUGGUCAAUGGAGGCAACUCUGAACCAGCCAUGCCGCGUGCAGGAUGACGGCCCUAUGGGUUGUAAACUGCUUUUAUACAAGAGAAAACCCUGGUACGUGUACCAGGUUGAUAGUAUUGUAAGAAUAAGCAUCGGCUAACUUCGUGCCAGCAGCCG
rnacentral:rRNA from 1 species